rnacentral:tRNA from 1 species
GCCCGGGUAGCUCAGUAGGUAGAGCGUUAGGCUUUUAACUUACCGGUCCAGGGUUCGAGCCCUUGCUUGGGCG